rnacentral:rRNA from 1 species
GACAGAGGGUGCAAACGUUGCUCGGAAUCACUGGGCAUAAAGCGCACGUAGGCCGUCUACUAAGUCCGAUGUGAAAUCCCCCGGCUUAACCUGGGAACUGCGUCUGAUACUGGAAGGCUUGAGGAUGGGAGGGGGAUGUAGAAUUCCAGGUGUAGCGGUGAAAUGCGUAGAUAUCUGGAGGAAUACCGGUGGCGAAGGCGGCAUCCUGGACCAUUACUGACGCUGAGGCGCGAAAGCUAGGGGAGCAAACGGG